CUGGCCCCUCCUCUUCCUGGGUGGCACCUGGGAUUCAACCUGUGAGGUGGGAAGUACUCUAGCAGGGACUCUGGCUUUGGAGAGGGCCCCUGUUUCUAAUUUCCCCAUUUUUGCCCAAUAAAUUUCAUUUUUCUCCCCCUCGAAAUCGUCUGUGAGCCUAAUUUUUCAUGGCCGUGCGACAAGGACCUGGCUCUUCGCUGAACUAAGGAGGAAGUCCUACCACACUUUGCUGUUAUUUGCACUAGCAGACAACGAGUCCCUAAGUCUUCCUGAAAGCCUGCCAGAAUGAUGUGGGAUUUACUUUGCCUGAACAUUAGGACUCAGCAAAUCCAGAGGAAUGCCAUUUCAUGAGGAGCAGCUAGGAUGCGAGAUAAUGACAAGUGAAUUGUGCAUUCAGGCUGCAUAAAAGAAAGGCUUACAUUAGAACAUGAGUGGAAGGAGUGAGGACAGUGGCUUUUUAAAUUUCUAUUCACUGCUGGUAUUAUCAGAGUGGAAUUUGCAAGGCAAAGGGUCAGAGACAUGGGAUCCUGCCCUGUGGAGAAGACAAAUCCCUCCUCCCGACUGAUGCGGCAGCAUGAGCUCCCUGUCCUCCCACCAGGCCAUGCUACCUCUGACAACAGUGGAGACUUUGUGUCUGUUUUUACUGCCGAUGUACUUUGUCUUCUGGGGUUAUAGAGGGGACUUGAUUUGUUCUGAGGAAAAUUUUAUAGUAUUUAUUUAAGGAGAAAUGAGUUCCGGCCCAGGAAAUGGUUCUGUGAAAAUGUAAUAAAUUCAUUUUGACUUUUUAACCAUAUGGAUAAGAAGAUGGUUUCUGAUACUUAGGCUGUUGGGUUUAGAUUUUUUUCUUUUUUUGGUUUGUGUGCUUUUUGUCUAGUGUUGCAAUUGUUCUUAAGAUGGUCUCUAGAAAAAUUAGCCUUGAAAAACUUGUCUGGUUGGCAAAGCACAUCUUGUUCCCACCCUUUGCCUCCACAUUGUUCACUCGUUUUGUCCUGAUUCAAACGUUCUCCUAUCACUCUCCUCCCACUUGCCCCAGCCCAUUUGUGGUAUAAUUUGCCAAGGUCUUGUUUUCCAUGGACACCCACAUACAUGUUGGCUGAUAAAAUUCAACAUCUCCCAGGAGUGGCUUCAUUUUUACAAGAGCCUCUUACAAUUUAGAAAAGCUUCACUGUGAUGGUAGAAUGGCAGGUGGAGAAAAUGGAAUUACUAUUUUGGGUAUAGGGUCCAUUCAUGCCCUGCUUUUUCUCUUCCUCAGCCUUGAUCUUGUUCCCUGGGGAGUGAGUCAGUUUGGUGCAGAGGAAGUCAAAGCAGGUCUUCAGGACCCCGCACAGCUCAGCUGAAAGAAUCUGGCAGAAUCAUUUAGCAGCUCAAGGGGCAAGACUGACCUGAAGUCCAGGGCACUUUAUUUAAGGAAAAAAUUGGCAAACAAAAUGCAAAACCUUGCCCUCCUCCAAGGCCUCUGGCAAGAGUGACCAUCCAGUUCAGAAGCUAAAUUCUUCCCUGUUUCUCUUUAUUUUUGGCAACCAAAACUUUCCUGCCUCUUAUGUCUUCAAAACACAUCACAUCCAAUUGAAAGACACACUGAUGCUUCAGUAAGCAAACUGUGAAAUGAAUGUGAAAGAAAUAAAUUAUUGUUUAUAUGCAUUCCUUUAAAGGGUAGUUUUUUUUUGUUGUUGUUUCUUUUCUUUUCUUUUUACUUUUUUUAUUAUACUUUAAGUUCUAGGGUACGUGUGCACAACGUGCAUGUUUAUUACAUAUGUAUGAAUGUGCCAUGUUGGUGUGCUGCA
rnacentral:lncRNA from 1 species